rnacentral:rRNA from 1 species
UAGUAAUCGCGGAUCAGAAUGCCGCGGUGAAUGCGUUCCGGGUCUUGUACACACCGCCCGUCACACCACGGAAGUUGGGGUGCCAAAGUUGGCAGGAUAAUAUGUUACCUAAGGCAAAACCGAUGACUGGGGUGAAGUCGUAACAAGGUAGC